GCCUGACUGACGAGAUUACCCGGCGGUUGCGGAGAUGGGCUCCUGCCAUCUGCCAAGGGGGACCUGAUUCUGAUAUUGUCAUCACAUCACUAAGUAUGGAAGCAUUUGGACACGAGUUCUCAUGUGUCUUGCAGCCUGAACUGGGCUGUGUUUGGAAACGAACCGAGACAAGAAAAAAGAAGAGAAAA